GCCGCCGCCGCCCGCCGUCGAUCCAGACCGCGCCCCAUCCCUGUCCUGCGCGCCGUCGUGGUCUGGUGCUGGAGAUGAGGACGAGGUUUGGCAGCAACGGGGCGCAUCAUGCCUCUCCCAAGCUUCUCCGCGAGGGAGAUCAUGGUCGUCAGUCCGUCGGUCCUCUCCUGCAGGCCUGCAACGAUGGUGGAUUUCCAUGUCUGAGCUCCACCUCCACUCAUAGAUCGUGAUGGGGCGCCAUGGCGGGGGAGGAAGAGGUAGGUGCUCAUGAUGGGCACCGUGACGGGACAGAGGAGGUAGCUCCCGGAGGCCACGGUCCAGGGUGCCGCCGACCCUCCACCUGCUUCCUCUGCCAAGCAAGAUGCUGCCUCGUCCCUCUUCUUCCUACUCCAACCCUAGCUCUCUUGGCAUGAAUAUUUCUUGCAUGGAGGAAUAUUCUGCUCUAUCCUAUCAACUGAUAUGUAUUUCCUGCUGAAUGGAACCCAGCAUGUGGGGAACCGCUACUGUUAUCAAACCGUGAUCUUACCGAGUCCGCCUACUUCGUUUCCCCUCUCACACAGCUCGCAUCUGACCAAGACACAGGAGGACAUGAGGAAACCAACAAGGAAGGGUGCUGGUAGCCUUGAAGUUGGCGUGCUUCUCCCCUCUUCCCAUCCCAGAAGAUUAUUUUCAAAGCAGAUAAACUAUUUUUGAUUCAUAUGCUUCUAAUUUUACCCUUUGUUUUGGUUCAGAUGUUUUCUGAAGGAAGAAGAUGAAGUUCUCUGUUUCUAUGUUCGAAGUGAAUACAUGUAAAUCAAACGACAUGAUCUGGUAUUGGGAUGUGGUUUCUAGGUCUCAUCUUAUUGAUAUUAGCUCCUCCUCUUGUAUGAUUAGUUGUUUGGUCUUCCUGUUCUCUUGGGGAAACGCAGUAUGGUGCCCCGCUGGUGGCCGGUGAAAGCAGUCCUAGCAUAGAAAUAUAUGAUUUUAUUGUCACUAGCAUUAGUUUGCUCACAUGUAUUUAGCCUUUAGCUAGAUAUAAGUACAUUUAUUUGAAUAUCUAUUCUUUCUUUUACUGAAUACCAGUUUUACCUCUUUUGCAGAUUAAUUACUGGUUAUCCUUCAUUAAAUUUUUUUGAGCCAAUGGAAAUAGAGAAAUUUACUUCUAUUGCCCUGAUAUGUUUCGACGCAACCGCUUUAUUCCCAAAUGUAUUGUGGAUUGCCGGGAUGACCUUUGGAUAUGGUUAUUGGCGGGGAUGGCCUUUGCACAUGGUUAUGGCAUUCUAAUAAUUACAACAAGAGCAAUGCCAUUGCCUUUUAUAUGGCUUUCUAACAAUUACACCAGCCAUCAGCAUGAGGUUUCCAGAAUACACCUACAUCUGAUCGGAUAUGCACUUUCAGUCAGCUCAUCCUUCCUUCCUUGCUACUGCUUGCAUUUUAUGGAGAGAUGCAGGUAUGAUAUCUUCCGCCUCCGUCAUGCAUGGCGGUCGCCUACGAAUAUCUGUGCCCGAGUUUUCAUUUGUUGAUAGCUUGGUCCAUGAGAAAACAGAGCAUGGUGGAUGUCAGUAAAUGAGCUGCCAGAAGAUCAGGAUCUGCCCUCACGGUAUAACUAGGCAGCCGGCAUCUGCGACGACAAUUGCGAUAUGCAUGACUCCGGUGGCUGCAUUGCCUUCUAUAUGAGACAACUACUCUGCUGAAGGAUGUAUGCAAUCUAAAAAGAUGUCUCUCUUCACAUUAUUUGUGUAGACAACAUAUUAAUAUUCAUGCAUGAUGCGUCCUUAGAGAAGAUAGCAGCGGUUAUUUCCGCUUAAUUAAUAGCAAUGUUGUUCCAUGUGUUAAGUCUUCCAUUGAUAUGGAUGCUCGGAGGCGUGAAAUUCGUGUUGGUACGAUCCCAGUUGGAUAUGAGGAUGGGGAUGAUAGGAGAUCAUGCAGCCCAGGGCUCUCCGGUACUCCUUUUUCGGUUGAGAGAGGGGAGCGUGGACUGAUUUGGUAGACGGUAUGGUGGUAGGUCGGGGCAAUCUCAACUGUUGUUGCUACAAGAUGGUACCCACCUAGGAGCUAUACGACCACGGAUCUCCAGAGAUAAAAUGCAACUGCAGAGAAACAUGCUAAUAAGGAGUUUGAUGGGACCCUUUCUUCCGUUGAAAAUUGCUGGUCCACUUCUUGCUAUUUUUUUCACUUUCUAUAGUGUCUGACUUUGGAAGUUGUAAUAUCCGGUUAUUGCUUGCAUUUGACUAUAUUUGUUUGUGCUAUUUGUAAUGUAAUUCAUUCAGUUUACCGGUUAUACAUUUGGUAGCAAAUUUGAAUUUGCUAAGAUAUCAAAAUAUCUGAUUAAUUCAUUUGGUUUAGAGUCCAAUAUCUUAGCGUGUAAUGGAGUGGACUUAAACAACCAAAAGGGUCUUUUGUUGGUGGCCGACACUCUGUUUUUGUACUUAUGAGUAUUGUAGAGAGCUACAAGUGUUCCCCUAGAUUAAUAUUAUUCUUUCUUUCAAACUGUA